UUUGAUCACUAGCCCAGAGCUGGGCAAUAGUGAAAUGCAGGAAGUACACAGUUUCUCCUAUCUGGAACCAGAGACUCAUUUGCCAAUCGACAUUCGAGGACUGAUAAAGGUUCCAGGAAAAGAGCAGUGUGCAUUUUGGAGGCCAUAACCAAAAGCCCUAAGACUGUUUUAAGAACCUGCAAAAAGUCGAUUCGUUUAAAGAAGCAGAAGCACCAGGAAUGUCAAAUGAGGAUCUCUUGCUUCAUUCGAAGGUUGUUUGUCAAAUGCGGAAACAGGAAGUCAAGAAAAAGGAGUCCCGCCGAUUUUACAAGCGUAGAUGUCAACUCAUUCCCGUUCAAAAUGCAACAGCCUUUGUACAGGGAGUGCAGCAAGUUCAAGAAGGGCACCUCAAAGCGCAAACAUCCCGUGGAACCAGUUGCCACAGGAUUAACAAAAUAAAUAAAUAAAUAAAA